rnacentral:lncRNA from 1 species
GGGGAGUAAAAUUUUGGCGGGAAAAUAUUAAAAAAAAUUGGAGGGGGAGGGUUUGGGAUAGAUGAGAGGUGAGAUGGGAAGGGAAUAAAAGUUUUAGGGGAAAAGUGGGAGGGAGUAAAAAUUUUGGGGGAAAAUAAAAGAUUUUGAGGGUUUUGGGGAGUAAAAUUUUGAGAAAAAAUAAAUGGGAGAAUAAAAUUUUGGUGAGAAAUGGAUUUUGGGUAGAUUGGGGGGUUGGGAGGAGAGGGGAGUAAAAGUUUUGGGGGGAAAGUGGGAAGGAGUAAAAGUUUUGAGAGAAAAGUAAAAAGGUUUAGGAGUUUGGGGUAAACAUGUAAAAUAUUAUAGUUUGAUAUUCGAAUUAUUCGAAUUAUUCGAGUUAUUCGAAUUUGAAAA